rnacentral:tRNA from 1 species
UCCGGUAUGGCCUAGUGGUUAGGAUACCUCGCUCUAACCCAGGAGGCCCGGGUUCGAUUCCCGGUACCGGAA